rnacentral:rRNA from 1 species
GACGAACGCUGGCGGCGUGCUUAACACAUGCAAGUCGAACGGAAAGGCCCCUUUGGGGGUACUCGAGUGGCGAACGGGUGAGUAACACGUGAGUAACCUGCCCUUGACUUCGGGAUAACUUCAGGAAACUGGGGCUAAUACCGGAUAGGAAUCCUUGCUGCAUGGUGGGGGUUGGAAAGCUUCGGGGGUUUUGGAUGGACUCGCGGCGUAUCAGCUUGUUGGUGGGGUAGUGGCUUACCAAGGCGUUGACGGGUAGCCGGCCUGCGAGGGCGACCGGCCACAUUGGGACCGAGAUACGGCCCAGACUCCUACGGGAGGCAGCAGUGGGGAAUAUUGCACAAUGGGCGGAAGCCUGAUGCAGCAACGCCGCGGGCGGGAGGACGGCCUUCUGGUUGAAAACCGCUUUCAGCAGGGGCGAAGCUUGUGGUGACGGUACCUGCAGAAGAAGCACCGGCUAACUACGUG